ensembl:lncRNA
CUCAAAUGGCCCCAAGAUGUCCCCAAAGGUGCUCAAAUGGCCCAAAGGGGACCCCAAAUAGGAUCAGAUGUCACAAAAGGUCCCUAAAUGGGCUCAAAUGUCCCCAAAGGGGUCCCCAAAUGGGCUCAAAUGACUCCAAGGGGUCCCCAAAUAGGAUCAGAUGUCACCAAAGGGGACCCCAAAUGGGCUCAAAUGGCCCCAAAGGGUAACCAAAGGGGCUCAAAUGGCCCCAAGGGGAACCCAGAUGGGAUCAAAUGGCACCAAAGGGUCCCCAAAUGGGAUCAGAUGUCACCAAAGGGGACCCCAGAUGGGCUCAAAUGGCACCAAAGGGUCCCCAAAUGGGAUCAAAGGGGACCCCAAAUGGGCUCAAAUGGCCCCAAAGGGUCCCCAAAUGGGCUCAAAUGGCCCCAAGGGGACCCCAAAUGGGAUCAAAUGGCCCCAAAGGGUCCCCAAAUGGGAUCAAAUGUCACCAAAGGGGACCCCAAAUAGGAUGAAAUGACCCCAAAGGGUCCCCAAAUGGGCUGAAAUGGCACCAAGAUGUCCCCAAAGGGGCUCAAAUGGCCCCAAAGGGACCCCAAAUAGGAUCAAAUGUCCCCACGGGGACCCUAAAUGGGAUAAAAUGAUCCCAAAGGGUCCCCAUAUGGGCUCAAAUGGCCCCAAGGGGACCCCAAAUAGGAUGAAAUGACCCCAAAGGGUCCUCACGUGGGCUCAAAUGGCCCCAAAGGGCCCCCAAAUAGGAUCA